CCUACGGGAGGCAGCAGUGAGGAAUAUUGGUCAAUGGGCGCGAGCCUGAACCAGCCAAGUCGCGUGAGGGAAGACGGUCCUAUGGAUUGUAAACCUCUUUUGUCGGGGCGCAAAAGACGCCACGCGUGGCGUUCCGAGAGUACCCGAAGAAAAAGCAUCGGCUAACUCCGUGCCAGCAGCCGCGGUAAUACGGAGGAUGCGAGCGUUAUCCGGAUGUAUUGGGGUUAAAGGGUGCGCAGGCGGAGGAUCAAGUCAGCGGUAAAAUUGAGAGGCUCAACCUCUUCGAGCCGUUGAAACUGGUUUUCUUGAGUGAGCGAGAAGUAUGCGGAAUGCGUGGUGUAGCGGUGAAAUGCAUAGAUAUCACGCAGAACUCCGAUUGCGAAGGCAGCAUACCGGCGCUCAACUGACGCUCAUGCACGAAAGUGUGGGUAUCGAACAGGAUUAGAUACCCCUGUAGUC
rnacentral:rRNA from 1 species